AAUUUGGAAAAGGAUUCAUUAGCAUUAAUGGGUCGUAUAGAUUUAUGAAAAGCUCAUGCUUCCGGUCAUUCCAUGGUUUCCUGGUGUGGCGCCAGAUCCGCAAAAAUGGUGGAGGCUCUUAACUAUAUGAAUAAGGACUGCUCAUUUGAUGGUAUUCUCUUGCAUAUGUUCAAUGCCUCAGCUUUGAGCAGUUUUGUAUCAAUUUUACAAAUGAGAAACUACAACAACCUUUCAACCAGGUAUCUUACCGAGAGAAGUUUGGCUUGAUCGUUGAUUGUAUGGUUUAUUCUCUUCUUUAAUUUUUAACAUUCAAUGUAUUUUUCUUUAAAAUUGAGCAGGAAAAGGACACAAUUGUCAAAUUUUCGACAAGUCCUCGUAUUUUCCUCAUAUGUUGAAUUUUUUAUGUACAAGUAUUAUGUUGUUAUUGUUUUGAAUUCAAUUUGUUUGAAUUUUUUGCAGGUGGAAAUAAAGUUUGAUCAUAUAAAUGGUAAUAUAUGCAGCUAUGAACCUUUCUACGAGUGUCAACUGGCAAGUUUGCUGGGUAAGGAUCUCAAUUGGUUAAGUUUGUGGAUUUUCUCCUAAGACUUCUAUCAAUUCGCUGUGUAUGUUUUGGGUCAUGAUCUCAAUUUCUUCAUGAGUUAUGGA